GAUGAACGCUGGCGGCGUGCCUAAUACAUGCAAGUCGAGCGAACGGACGAGAAGCUUGCUUCUCUGAUGUUAGCGGCGGACGGGUGAGUAACACGUGGAUAACCUACCUAUAAGACUGGGAUAACUUCGGGAAACCGGAGCUAAUACCGGAUAAUAUUUUGAACCGCAUGGUUCAAAAGUGAAAGACGGUCUUGCUGUCACUUAUAGAUGGAUCCGCGCUGCAUUAGCUAGUUGGUAAGGUAACGGCUUACCAAGGCAACGAUGCAUAGCCGACCUGAGAGGGUGAUCGGACACACUGGCACUGAGACACGGUCCAGACUCCUACGGGAGGCAGCAGUAGGGAAUCUUCCGCAAAGGGCGAAAGCCUGACGGAGCAACGCCGCGUGAGUGAUGAAGGUCUUCGGAUCGUAAAACUCUGUUAUUAGGGAAGAACAUAUGUGUAAGUAACUGUGCACAUCUUGACGGUACCUAAUCAGAAAGCCACGGCUAACUACGUG
rnacentral:rRNA from 1 species